AGUGAAAUACCAGACAUGGCUCAAUCCAACAGUGUAAUCACUGUUGUACCAGUUGGGGUGCAAGGAAAUGAAGAAAUAGAGAAUCUGGACUUAAAGUGCAAGCUGGGCUGUAUUCUCAGCAUAAUGCAAGGAGACAACAUGCAACUCUGCGUGCCUGGCCAACAUCUCCACUUAGAUGAUGGCCCACCACCUCAAGCUUAACCUUGACAAGAAUGGCACCUCUUCGGAAAUUGUGGGGGACCUAUAAAUCCCAAUACUCCAUCAUAACAGAUUAGGGAGUGCUCAUUUAUUGACAAUAAAGAACAGCAUUUUCCGGGAUAGAAUUGUGUUGAGGAAUAGAUCUGGGGAAGGUUAUAAAACAAUUGCUAAAGCAUUGACAUUUCUCAGAAAAACUCCAUCAUUGUGAAAUGUAAAAUGUUUGGAACCACAAAAACACUUCCUAGAGCUGGCUGUCCGACCAAACAAAGUAACUGAGCAUAAAGGACGUUGGUGAGGAAGGGGACCAAGAAGUAAACUGCCCCGCUAACAAAGCUUGGGUGGCUGACCAUAGUUCCAUGAGCAGCACACUAUUCAAUAAAUCAAACAGAAAUUACAAGAUCCCUAGUCAACGACUGUAUGUUUUGUGAUUCUUUUUAGUUCUCCAAACAACCUUGGAUUGUUCUCUGAGCUUCACCGUUUUGACAGUGGUACAGAAAGCAGAGUGUUCUGUUUUCUUUUCCUCAAACCCUGUUGACUGGCCAUUGAUUCCCUGUAGGCAACUGGGUAUCAACUUAUCACACGUGAAAUAAAUAACCCAGGAGAUAUUUCUGUUACUUACAGGUUAACACAUUGGAAAUACAUAUUGUAUUACUUUAC
ensembl:lncRNA